CUUGUUGUUCAUGAAUACGAGGAGGAGGUGAUCCAGAAGAGGACACGCCAGCAGCAGCUUUGGAGGCGGAGCAGAUCGGACGGACGUGGAGGAGGCCUCGCCGUCCGUGCCGGUGCCGGUGGCGGAGAUGCCGAUGUGUUUUGGUUGAGGUUGGAGCGGUGAGAGAGAGUCCACUUAUCCGCACGUCCACCUCUCCUUCUCGUCCCCUCUCCUCGCUCCCUCCAUGGCCAUGGCUGCUUUCUCUCUUCUUCUUCGCCGGAGACAGAUGCAUCCCUGAGCUGAGCUGAGAUUCCUCCCUGCAGCUUUCCCUCCCUGAGCUGACCUGAGCUUGCUGCUACCUGGACUGGAGUGGACGCAGGCAGGCAGCCAUGGCGACGGGGGCGGUGCUCUCCUCCUCCUCUUCUUCACCAGCAGCAGCAGGAAAGCAUGACACCAUGAUGAUGAUCAGCUACUCCUCUACGUCGUCGCCGCGCACCAGGUGGCCGGUGUGCUCCCAGCUGGUUGCCGGAGACAGAAACGGAGGGACCGGCCGGCAUGUCGCCAGGAGCACCGGGAACCAACUCUCUGCCCACAUUCAGCAGCCUCUGCUAAACUCUCCUCCAAUGAGGCUCUGCAACAACAAUGCAGGCCUGCUGAAGAGGAGGCUCCUGUCAAGGGUCGACUGCUUCCUACUGUCCUCCGACCCUGUUACAAAUGGCUGGCAGAAACCCAGGAACCUCGCCGGCCUCGACAGCGCCGGCGUGCUGCAGCCCGAGUACAGGGCGCCCGUCAGAAAGCAGCGCGGAGACUGCAGGGCCGAGCAGUACGAGAUGACCGGGGCGCCAAUGGGCGACGUCCCCGCCGAGGCGGCCGUCCUGGUCGGAGGAGACGCUGCUAGCCCAGAGGCCGUUUCUUCUCCCGCGUGGUGGCAGCAGUUCCCCAAGCGCAUGACCAUCGUCGUCCUCUGCUUCUUCUCCUUCCUGCUCUGCAACAUGGACCGUGUCAACAUGAGUAUCGCCAUCCUGCCAAUGUCAGCAGAGUUCGGCUGGAGCCCGGCAACCGUUGGCCUCAUCCAGUCUUCUUUCUUUUGGGGUUACCUUCUCACUCAGAUUCUUGGAGGCAUUUGGGCUGACCGGUUUGGCGGCAAGGUGGUGCUUGGGUUCGGGGUUGUAUGGUGGUCUAUUGCAACAAUUCUUACACCAUUUGCUGCCAAGCUUGGCCUUCCGUUCCUACUCGUCGUGCGUGCUUUCAUGGGGAUAGGCGAGGGUGUCGCCAUGCCGGCCAUGAACAACAUCCUUUCCAAAUGGAUCCCGGUUUCAGAGAGGAGCAGAUCUCUUGCAUUAGUAUACAGUGGAAUGUACCUUGGUUCAGUUACCGGCCUAGCCUUCUCACCUUUCCUGAUAAGCAAAUUCGGCUGGCCUUCUGUUUUCUACGGAUUUGGGUCCCUGGGAAGCAUCUGGUUUACACUGUGGCAACUCAAAGCACGCAGCUCCCCGAGCGAAGACCCGGAAGUAACCGAAGAUGAGAAGAGGCACAUACUAGGUGGUAGUACCAUAAAGGAGCCUGUUAGCUCCAUACCAUGGAAGUUAAUCCUAUCAAAGCCUGCAGUAUGGGCUCUCAUAGUAUCCCAUUUUUGCCAUAACUGGGGAACAUUCAUCCUCCUAACAUGGAUGCCCACAUACUACAAUCAGGUUCUGAAGUUCAAUCUCACCGAGUCCGGGCUUCUCUGUGUCUUGCCAUGGCUGACAAUGGCCGUGUUUGCAAAUAUUGGUGGCUGGAUAGCUGACACACUUGUCGCGAAAGGGGUUUCGAUAACAAAUGUUCGCAAGAUCAUGCAAUCUAUCGGUUUUCUUGGACCGGCCUUGUUCCUGACGCUGCUGAGCAAAGUCCGCACACCGGCCAUGGCGGUGCUGUGUAUGGCAUGCAGUCAGGGGAGUGAUGCUUUUUCACAGUCUGGGCUGUACUCGAACCACCAGGAUAUAGGACCGCGCUACGCGGGGGUGCUUCUUGGGCUGUCGAACACCGCCGGCGUGCUUGCAGGAGUUUUUGGUACUGCUGCCACUGGCUACAUUCUUCAGAAAGGCUCUUGGGACAGUGUGUUCCAGGUGGCUGUUCUGCUGUACAUAGUAGGGACAGUGGUGUGGAACGUCUUUUCGACCGGAGAGAGGAUCCUCGAAUAAGCCGCGGGACGGACGCUCCUAUGCGCGCCGCUAUACGAAAAAUAAGCCGAUUUUUGCUGAUGUCUGUCUUUUUGGUGUACACAAGAAGUAAACCGGAGCGAGAGAUACCCUAUGAAAAAACUCUCGUUUUUUUAGCAAGAGAUACCGUAGCUGCAUUUGAUGUUCGGGCUAUGGAAAGAGUGAAGAUCACACCGAGGCGCUGCACUUGAUGUUUACACUGGGUUAAAUUUCUGCUGUGAAAGUCAAGAUGCCAGGCUUGGAACCAAAGAAUUCUCUGAAGCUGAAAGCGGCAGCUGCACGGAGGGAACUAAUGCCACACCUUGCACCAAAUCCUAUCUUAGCACCUUGCAUCUGUUUGUUCCUGGAGGAAGUCCAAGACUCCAAGCUACUUCCCCUGUUCCAGCUUUUGCACCAACUAAAGAAUUCCACAUGGUGGUUCUAUUUUUUUCGGAUGAAAGCGAUGUUUUAACCAUGCCUGCGGCUGCUGCCAAAUUCAUGUGGUAUUACACAAGCAUUUUUGGGAGAACAAUGUUCGUUUUUAUUUUGCGAUAUUUGCUGUUAUUGUUACUGUUUUGCGUGUCAUGUAUGACUACUAUAUCACAUGCCAAUGAGUUUGUUUUUGCAAUGUGUAAAGCAUGUUGGCGCAUCUAAACGCCGACUUGGCGAAUUGUC
rnacentral:rRNA from 1 species